AAAAAAACAAACAUUUUAAACAUGUAUGUGAGGUUGGCAUUACACAGAAACUCCUCUCCGGGUGGGCUGGGAUGGGCUUUCUCAGCCAGGCUAAUGGGUUUUAAAUUUCUCUCUUUUCAAGACUUGCAGUGCAUCAGCUUAAAGGGUGAGCCAGCCAGUAGAGGGGAAGGCGCCCCACCUAGAAGGUGCCCUUAGAUAUCAAAGAAAUGUGAAAAGAGAAAGAUUUUGCUAGAAUCCUCCUCAAAGGUGUUCUUGAGGUUGCCAGACCAGCAACGUCAACAUCAGCAUCACCUGAGAACUUGUUAGAAAUGCACAUUCUCGGUCCCCACCCCAGGCUACCGAACCAGAAACCGAGCGGGGCCCAGCAGCCCGUGUCUUAACAGCCCUCCAGGUGAUUCUGACUAUCAAGUUUGAGAAUCCAGUUGGGGCUAGCAGGAGUCCCCCCUCAGGUGGUCCCUGAUGCCUGCUGGUGAUAUGGGUCUUGUGUGCUGCUGGGCUCAGCAUAGUGCAGUUGGGGUGUGCUGAUUGUGAGACAGGCACGUGUUCCCUCCGCGGAGAAGCCACUGAGACUGCCUUCCCUCAUAAGCUGCGGCCUCCCCAACAAACAACUGCCAAGACAUCAAAGAAAGUCUGUAUGAAGCAGAUCCAAAUUAUUAGCCUGCCCACCACUCCUUGUGCAUCUCAUCAGUGGAACCCAUCUCUAGACCAAGGGCCCUUUGGGUGAAGAAGCAGCCCGGAAGGGAAAGAGAAAAGAGUAGAACCAAGGGACCUCCAGAUGGGAGCGGCGGCCGAAUUUAUUCAAAAGUCAAGAAUCUUAAAUCUCUGAAAUGGCGUGGGAAGAAAAAGUGCUAGAUACACAGAGAUCUUUCUUGAGUCAUGUGAAGGAGCAGUGCCCAAGCCCAGCAAACCCACAGCAAAUUCCCUUGGCUUCCAGAAGAGAUGGAGAAAGCAGUGCCCCCAGUGGAGGGUCAAAGGCCUCUGUGCAGGGUGUUGUGGGCCUGGAGAGCUGGCCUGGCCAUGUCUUUACCUCCUCUGGGCAUCUCCCCACCCCAACACCCUUUCUGUGGCCUGGUGGCUGAGUUGCAGCCGACACCCAGAGGCAGGGCAUCGAGCGCCUCAAACGAAAGAACCAGCCCAGGGAGCACAUGGGGAGCUGGCAGUCAGUAAAGGAGACCUUUGGUGGGGACUUCUCCCUGAACUGGUUCAACCCCUUCUCCAGACCGUGUCAGCCAGAGAUCCCCAGUGACAAAGACAUGGUGCGGCAGGUGACAUCGCUGUCAGACACCGAAACAAUGGAGGAUCCAUCAGAGGAGACAAAGGACGAGGACUCUGUGGAGGUGACAGAUGAAUAGAUGCUGCUGUGGGGAGAGAAGCAAACACUAAAAAGUGCUGUCAACCUUCAUCCUGGGGUUUUGGCUAAAGGGGCUUAUGGGCAUGGUGCGCUCCCAGCACCCCCAGUGCUUCCCUUAGCCACUCGCUUGGCCUUGCCAUUUCCCCUCCUUCUUCUCUCCAUGUUGGGCCAGGUCUGGGGGUCGGGAGUAGGCUGGGGACAUCAGAGGAGGAUGGGGGCUUUCUCAGAGUUCAUCUAAGAAGAGUCUGCACUGAGACGGCUCAUCAAGAACCGUUCUCCAAGACUGGGUGGCUUUCACAUUCUCCGCCCAGCAAAGGGAGCUUUUGAACAGGGCAUCCCAGGGGCAGAAAAGAGCUUGCCUUUGGCUUUCCCCAGGAUUUCUGUCUUCUCUUGGGAAGGCUGGGCCCCUGGCUCCUGGCUUUGAGAAGUAAGGUUGUGACAGAAGGACCGGGCAGGGCUUGCCUUGGGGACCUGGGUUGGGACACUG
rnacentral:lncRNA from 1 species